GAUGAACGCUGGCGGCGUGCCUAAUACAUGCAAGUCGAGCGAACAGACGAGGAGCUUGCUCCUCUGAUGUUAGCGGCGGACGGGUGAGUAACACGUGGAUAACCUACCUAUAAGACUGGGAUAACUUCGGGAAACCGGAGCUAAUACCGGAUAACAUGUUGAACCGCAUGGUUCAACAGUGAAAGACGGUUUUGCUGUCACUUAUAGAUGGAUCCGCGCCGCAUUAGCUAGUUGGUAAGGUAACGGCUUACCAAGGCAACGAUGCGUAGCUGACCUGAGAGGGUGAUCGGCCACACUGGAACUGAGACACGGUCCAGACUCCUACGGGAGGCAGCAGUAGGGAAUCUUCCGCAAUGGGCGAAAGCCUGACGGAGCAACGCCGCGUGAGUGAAGAAGGUCUUCGGAUCGUAAAACUCUGUUAUUAGGGAAGAACAAAUGUGUAAGUAACUAUGCACGUCUUGACGGUACCUAAUCAGAAAGCCACGGCUAACUACGUG
rnacentral:rRNA from 1 species